rnacentral:rRNA from 1 species
ACCAGACUCCUACGGGAGGCAGCAGUGGGGGAUAUUGCACAAUGGGGGGAACCCUGAUGCAGCGACGCCGCGUGGGUGAAGGAGUAUUUCGGUAUGUAAAGCCCUAUCGGCAGGGAAGAAGCAAGACGGUACCUGACUAAGAAGCCCCGGCUAACUACGUGCCAGCAGCCGCGGUAAUACGUAGGGGGCGAGCGUUAUCCGGAUUCACUGGGUGUAAAGGGAGCGUAGACGGCCAAGCAAGCCAGGGGUGAAAGCCCGGGGCCCAACCCCGGGACUGCCCUUGGAACUGCUUGGCUGGAGUGCGGGAGGGGCAGGCGGAAUUCCUGGUGUAGCGGUGAAAUGCGUAGAUAUCAGGAGGAACACCGGCGGCGAAGGCGGCCUGCUGGACCGCUACUGACGUUGAGGCUCGAAAGCGUGGGGAGCAAACAGGAUUAGAUACCCCCGUAG